GUAGAUUGAAGCCAGGUAUAGGGUAUUUAGCUGUUAACUAAAAUUUCGUAGGUUUAACUCCUACCAAUCUA
rnacentral:tRNA from 1 species